rnacentral:rRNA from 1 species
GAUGAACGCUAGCUACAGGCUUAACACAUGCAAGUCGAGGGGAAACGAUAGAGAAAGCUUGCUUUUCUAGGCGUCGACCGGCGCACGGGUGAGUAACGCGUAUCCAACCUGCCCACCACUUGGGGGAUAACCUUGCGAAAGUAAGACUAAUACCCAAUGACGUCUCUAGAAGGCAUCUGAAAGGGAUUAAAGAUUUAUCGGUGAUGGAUGGGGAUGCGUCUGAUUAGCUUGUUGGCGGGUAACGGCCCACCAAGGCGACGAUCAGUAGGGGUUCUGAGAGGAAGGUCCCCCACAUUGGAACUGAGACACGGUCCAAACUCCUACGGGAGGCAGCAGUGAGGAAUAUUGGUCAAUGGGCGAGAGCCUGAACCAGCCAAGUAGCGUGCAGGAUGACGGCCCUAUGGGUUGUAAACUGCUUUUAUAAGGGAAUAAAGUGAGUCUCGUGAGACUUUUUGCAUGUACCUUAUGAAUAAGGACCGGCUAAUUCCGUG